GAAAAGAACAUAUGGUACGUUGGAGAUUCGAUGUUUCACACUGCGUAGUGGAACUCUGAUCACUCCAUGUCGACCCCUCCACUGAAAGCUAUCAAAAUUUGGGCGCAUCUGACGGGUGUUCCACUAGACCUUCGUUAUGAUGAGGGCUUGAGUCUGGUAGCUGGACUAGUGGGAGAACCUAAAGAGACGGACGAUUUCACAAAAAAUAUGGUCAGUCUUACCGUGUCGCACGUUAAGGUUGAAGUAGACUUAACAGCUCCAUUACCUCCAGUGGUGGAAUUUGAAAGGGAGAUUGGAGAAGUAGUUGAAGUCUUGGUUCACUACCCAUGGGUGCCGCCAACUUGUUCUCAUUGUCAUGAAUUGGGUCAUAUAGUGAGGAACUGUCUCAGCUACUCCCCUCCUCCUGCUCCUGAAACUGAAAAAAGCAAAGGUUCUGUUAACCCAACUGAGACCCACCCUAAAACCCCACAAAAACCCUUACAAAAAUCUCAAGCCUCCAAAUCUUCUUUUACCCCCGCAAAAACUUCUAGAAAAGCUCAUAAAAGAUACCAACCUGUUUCAAACCCUCUGGCCUUUGAACCUGACCCAACUAUACCAGUGCCUCAAAGCUCUUCAUCCCAUCUCCCUGCUCUUGUCAAAGCCCUUACUGACCCUGAGAUCCCUCAAUCUACCUCUAAUGAUACUGCCAAAGUCACCUUCUCCUCUCC
rnacentral:lncRNA from 1 species